GACGAACGCUGGCGGCGUGCCUAAUACAUGCCAGUUGAGCGAUGAAGAUUGGUGCUUGCACCAAUUUGAAGAGCAGCGAACGGGUGAGUAACGCGUGGGGAAUCUGCCUUUGAGCGGGGGACAACAUUUGGAAACGAAUGCUAAUACCGCAUAAUAACUUUAAACAUAAGUUUUAAGUUUGAAAGAUGCAAUUGCAUCACUCAAAGAUGAUCCCGCGUUGUAUUAGCUAGUUGGUGGGGUAAAGGCUCACCAAGGCGAUGAUACAUAGCCGACCUGAGAGGGUGAUCGGCCACAUUGGGACUGAGACACGGCCCAAACUCCUACGGGAGGCAGCAGUAGGGAAUCUUCGGCAAUGGACGAAAGUCUGACCGAGCAACGCCGCGUGAGUGAAGAAGGUUUUCGGAUCGUAAAACUCUGUUGGUAGAGAAGAACGUUGGUGAGAGUGGAAAGCUCAUCAAGUGACGGUAACUACCCAGAAAGGGACGGCUAACUACGUG
rnacentral:rRNA from 1 species